AACGUAGGAGACAAGCGUUAUCCGGAGUUACUGGGCGUAAAGGGCGUGUAGGUGGUUUCGUAAGUCUGGCGUGAAAUUUUUCGGCUUAACCGGGAAAGGUCGUCGGAUACUGCGGAGCUAGAGGACGGUAGAGGCGUGUGGAAUUCCGGGUGUAGUGGUGAAAUGCGCAGAUAUCAGGAGGAACACCGGUGGCGAAGGCGGGUCUCUGGGCCGGAACUGACGCUGAGGAGCGAAAGCGUGGGGAGCGAACAGG
rnacentral:rRNA from 1 species